rnacentral:rRNA from 1 species
GAUGAACGCUGGCGGCGUGCCUAAUACAUGCAAGUCGAGCGAACAGACGAGGAGCUUGCUCCUCUGACGUUAGCGGCGGACGGGUGAGUAACACGUGGAUAACCUACCUAUAAGACUGGGAUAACUUCGGGAAACCGGAGCUAAUACCGGAUAAUAUAUUGAACCGCAUGGUUCAAUAGUGAAAGACGGUUUUGCUGUCACUUAUAGAUGGAUCCGCGCCGCAUUAGCUAGUUGGUAAGGUAACGGCUUACCAAGGCAACGAUGCGUAGCCGACCUGAGAGGGUGAUCGGCCACACUGGAACGGAGACACGGUCCAGACUCCUACGGGAGGCAGCAGUAGGGAAUCUUCCGCAAUGGGCGAAAGCUUGACGGAGCAACGCCGCGUGAGUGAUGAAGGUCUUCGGAUCGUAAAACUCUGUUAUUAGGGAAGAACAAAUGUGUAAGUAACUAUGCACGUCUUGACGGUACCUAAUCAGAAAGCCACGGCUAACUACGUA